AUCACUUCUCGGUUUUUUGGCUAAGAUCAAGUGUAGUAUCUGUUCUUAUCAGUUAAAUAUCUGAUACAUCCUCUAUCCAAUUUUCAUUUAUUAGCUUGGCAACUUUU
ensembl:snRNA U2 U2 spliceosomal RNA